GGUGAGGUGGGUGAGUGGCUGAAACCACCAGUUUGCUAAACUGGCGUACGGGUAAACUGUACCGCGGGUUCGAAUCCCGCCCUCACCG
rnacentral:tRNA from 1 species